rnacentral:rRNA from 1 species
UACGUAGGGGGCAAGCGUUGUCCGGAAUCAUUGGGCGUAAAGAGCUCGUAGGCGGCUCAGUAAGUCGGGUGUGAAACCCCCAGGCUCAACCUGGGGACGCCACUCGAUACUGCUGUGGCUAGAGUCCAGUAGAGGAGUGUGGAAUUCCCGGUGUAGCGGUGAAAUGCGCAGAUAUCGAGAGGAACACCUGCGGCGAAGGCGGGUUGCUGGGCCGACACUGACGCUGAGGCGCGAAAGCCAGGGGAGCGAACGGG